CCUACGGGUGGCUGCAGUGGGGGAUAUUGCACAAUGGGGGAAACCCUGAUGCAGCGACGCCGCGUGGGUGAAGAAGUAUUUCGGUAUGUAAAGCCCUAUCAGCAGGGAAGAAAGAAGACGGUACCUGACUAAGAAGCCCCGGCUAACUACGUGCCAGCAGCCGCGGUAAUACGUAGGGGGCGAGCGUUAUCCGGAUUCACUGGGUGUAAAGGGAGCGUAGACGGCCGUGCAAGCCAGGAGUGAAAGCCCGGGGCCCAACCCCGGGACUGCUCUUGGAACUGUGCGGCUGGAGUGCGGGAGGGGCAGGCGGAAUUCCUGGUGGAGCGGUGAAAUGCGUAGAUAUCAGGAGGAACACCGAUUGCGAAGGCAGCUUACCAAGCUACUUCUGACGUUGAGGCACGAAAGCGUGGGGAGCAAACAGGAUUAGAUACCCUAGUAGUG
rnacentral:rRNA from 1 species